GGUGUAGCUCAGUGGUAGAGCAUGUGCUUAGUAUGCACAAGGCCCUGGGUUUGAUCCCCAGACCA
rnacentral:tRNA from 1 species